rnacentral:tRNA from 1 species
GCCGCUAUGGUGAAAUUGGUAGACACGCUGCUCUUAGGAAGCAGUGCUAUAAAAGCAUCUCGGUUCGAGUCCGAGUGGCGGCA